rnacentral:lncRNA from 1 species
UUUCUUCUCGUCUGUCGCCAUGUGAGAUGUACCUUUCACUUUCCUCCAUGAUUGUGAGGCCUCCUUAGCCACAUGGAACUGCCCUGGCAAUCACUAUUCCAGUCUCUGCUUCUAUGAGUUUGACUAUUUCAGAUUCCACAUGUAGGAAAUGCUGGAGUCCUUCAUCCGAAUGGUAAAUGGCACUUGUGACAAAAAUCAAAGUAACUAAAAAAGAAUCUGGUUGAAACCUCAGUAACAGUUGGCCUGUCUACUGCCUCACACUAACAAGUGACCCCCACCUUUACAAGUGUCUGUAAUUCUCACUAGCAGUAUAUUAGAGGGCAAAAGAUUUGAACAGACACAUCAGAAAAGAAGACAUACAAAUGGCCGCUAAGCACUUGAAAGGAUUCUGAACACCAUUAGUCAUCAGUGAAAUGCAAAUUAAAGCCAUAAUGAAUGGCGCUAUACAUUUUCAGAAUGGCAAGGAUUGAAGACCGAAAAAAAUCAAGCGUUGAGGAGAGUGACAAAUGGGGAGACAGCCGUGGUGCAUGAUCGCCGAAUAAAUACCAUGUGAGGAUACAGCAAGAAGGUGGCCAUCUACAAGCCAAGGAGACAGGCCUCAGAAGAAACCAACCCUUCUUACACCCUGGACUCAGACUUCUAAUCUCCAGAACUUGUUAAUGCACAAGGUCUUGUGUUGAAAAUGUAGAGCCACGAGAUAAAAGCAGCUUGGAUGGCUGACUCAUAUACAAGGACAACUGCCUGAGAGUCACCAGGGCUAUCAAGAAGUUUGCAGAAACAAGAAAUAAACUUUUACUGUUUUAAACUUUUGUGAAUUUUGGGUUUUGUUUAUCACCAAAUAAACCUAGUCUAUUCUGAUUGUUAUAAGUGGUUAAUUUGGGAAGUCAGAUAUAUUUAAAAUUGGCUUACUGCUGUAACAUAUACAGUCCAAAUUACAUAAUGGCUCAAAUGCAAUAGAAGUCUUUUUUUUUUUUGCUCACAUAUCACUUCACUGAGAUUCUGCAUUAAUUGUAAUGAUGAGGGUGAGGGUGUCUUAUAUCAUACAGUUGUUCAGCAACCCAGGAUGACCAACUUUGUAAUAUUUUUUCCCACUGGCUUCUAAAGUUCUCAUAGAUAGUAAAAUUCAUUUGGAAGAAGGAGAAACAGCAUGGAGGAUUGCAGAUGGAGAUUUUUAUGGGAAGGCUUGGAGGUUUGGAGGUUACACAUUACUACUUUUACUUGUUGGCUAGGAAACUAUCACGUGGUCACACCUAAGUGCCAGUGAGUCUGACAAUGUGGCAAUUUGGUUGCGGGCCAGGGGUAAGAGGCAAUAAAUUUUGCUCAAUAAUUAUCAGUUUUUGCCACAGAUGGAGGGACUUUUCAUUGUAUAACUAGUUGUUACUGUUUGAAUUUAAAACAGGAAAAUAUCAUUUUCAAAUAAAAACACAAAAGUGGCACAAAAAA